rnacentral:rRNA from 1 species
GGUGUUAGUGUUAUGCCUCUCUCUUUAUAUCAUAGACUUGAAUUGAAUAAGUUGAUACCUACUAAAAUAUCUUUGCAAAUGGCUGGGAAAUCAACUGCUAUACCUGUCGGUAUAUGUGAGGAUGUGCCUGUUGUGGUUGCAAAUGUCACUAUCUUAACAGACUUUGUUAUUCUUGAUAUUCCCGAGUAUGAUAGUAUGUCUAUUAUCCUUGGUAGACCUUUUCUUAAUACUGCAGGGGCUGUUAUUGAUUGCAACAAAGGCAAUGUCACUUUUCAUGUUAAUGGUAAUGAGCAUACGGUACACUUUUCGAGGAAA